UACGAAGGGGGCUAGCGUUGUUCGGAAUUACUGGGCGUAAAGGGCGCGUAGGCGGUGUGUCAAGUCAGGCGUGAAAGCCCCGGGCUUAACCUGGGAACAGCGCAUGAAACGGUAUACCUAGAGGACGAGAGAGGAAAGCGGAAUUCCUGGUGUAGCGGUGAAAUGCGCAGAUAUCAGGAGGAACACCGAUGGCGAAGGCAGGUCUCUGGGCAUUAACUGACGCUGAGGAGCGAAAGCAUGGGGAGCGAACAGG
rnacentral:rRNA from 1 species